rnacentral:rRNA from 1 species
AUUGAACGCUGGCGGCAGGCCUAACACAUGCAAGUCGAACGAGUGGCGGACGUGUUAGUAAUGUCUGGGACACUGCCCGAUGGAGGGGGAUAACUACUGGAAACGGUAGCUAAUAACGCAUACCAUCGGAUGGUCCGAGAUGGGAUUAGCUAGUGGGUGGGGUAACGGCUCACCUAGGCGACGAUCCCUAGCUGGUCUGAGAGGAUGACCAGCCACACUGGAACUGAGACACGGUCCAGACUCCUACGGGAGGCAGCAGUGGGGAAUAUUGGACAAUGGGCGAAAGCCUGAUGCAGCCAUGCCGCGUGUAUGAAGAAGGCCUUCGGGUUGUAAAGUACUUUAAGCGGGGAGGCGUUACUCGCAGAAGAAGCACCGGCUAACUCCGUGCCAGCAGCCGCGGUAAUUC